CUAUGGUUUAUUGGAUCGUACCCGUCAAAUGGAUAACUGUAAUAACUCUAGAGCUAAUACAUGCCACGAAGCCCUGACUUGUGCCGUCUUCUGUGCGGUGCCGGGAUGGGUGCUCUUAUUAGAUCAGAAACCAACCGAGUCGUGGCCAGCGGCUAAUUACUGCUGGUCGCGACUUGUUGUCGUUCUGGUGACUCUGGAUAAUUGUUACAGAUCGCAGUCGGCCUUGAGUCGGCGACGGGUCCUUCAAAUGUCUGCCCUAUCAACUUUCGAUGGUAGGCAAUCUGCCUACCAUGGUGAUAACGGGUAACGGGGAAUCAGGGUUCGAUUCCGGAGAGGGAGCCUGAGAAACGGCUACCACUUCCAAGGGAGGCAGCAGGCGCGCAAAUUACCCACUCCCGGUACGGGGAGGUGGUGACGAAAAAUACCGAUGCGGGACUCUUCAAGAGGCUCCGUAAUCGGAAUGAGUGAACUCUAAAUCCUUUCACGAGGAUCAAUUGGAGGGCAAGUCUGGUGCCAGCAGCCGCGGUAACUCCAGCUCCAAUAGCGUAUAUUAAAGUUGCUGCAGUUAAAAAGCUCGUAGUUGGAUCUCGGUUGCACUGUUGCCCGCCAUUGCUUGGCCGGAUGGGUGCCGGGUGAUGCAUUGGCCGAGUGCCGUGUUCGCCGCCGGUGUCCGCCUGUUGUCGAGUUGGUGUGGUGUCGGUGUCACCUUUUAGCCAUGUCUGUGGUGCAAUACCCACAGGUGUAGGCGAGUGUCGGGCGGUGCCUUGCACACGUAGGGUCCGUCGGCUCGUCUGCAUGCCUUUGGAUGCCCUUCAAAAGGUGUCUGUGGGCGGAUGGCACGUUUACUUUGAACAAAUUUGAGUGCUCAAACCAGGCCGCUGUAGCCUGAAAAGUUUUGCAUGGAAUAAUGGAAUAGGACUUCGGUUCUAUUUUGUUGGUUUUCGGAUCCGAAGUAAUGAUCAAAAGAGACAGGCGGGGACGUUUGUAUGGUUGCGCUAGAGGUGAAAUUCAUGGACCGUAACCAGACAGACUAAAGCGAAAGCAUUCGUCAAGCAUGUUUUCAUUGGCCAUGAGCGAAAGUCAGAGGCUCGAAGACGAUCAGAUACCGUCCUAGUUCUGACCAUAAACGAUGCCAACUGACGAUCCGUGGUGGUAGUUUAAUAACCGUCCCCACGGGCAGCCCCCGGGAAACCUUUAAGUCUAUGGGUUCCGGGGGAAGUAUGGUUGCAAAGCUGAAACUUAAAGGAAUUGACGGAAGGGCACCACCAGGAGUGGAGCCUGCGGCUUAAUUUGACUCAACACGGGAAAACUCACCCGGGCCGGACACUGUGAGGAUUGACAGAUUGAAAGCUCUUUCUUGAUUUGGUGGUUGGUGGUGCAUGGCCGUUCUUAGUUGGUGGAGCGAUUUGUCUGGUUAAUUCCGAUAACGAACGAGACUCUAGCCUGCUAAUUAGUGCGCCUGUCCUCUGUUCCUGUGCAGGCGGCUCUCAGCGCUACUGCCUUGCUAUGCUGGGCUACCUGUGUGCGGUGCGCUCACGGUCGGUUCUUGCUGCCUUGCUGCCAUCAGUGUGCGAGUCUGCGCCUAUGUCGGUGCCGCCCUCCGUCUCGGCUCCAGCACGUGUCAUCUUGUAUGGCGUGUGUUUGGUGGCCUGGGGUGUUGGUGGUGCAACUAGCGUGUGCUUGUGCGCCGUUUGUGCUCCGGGUGGCUGGCUGGCUAACAAGUGGGUGUGCAUGCGCUUGGCGGUCUAGUUGAGGCGGUGGAGUUCGGGCUUGCUUCCGGGUACGGCGCAGGUGUCUACUUCUUAGAGGGACAAGCAUACACAAAUGCACGAGAUUGAGCAAUAACAGGUCUGUGAUGCCCUUAGAUGUCCGGGGCCGCACGCGCGCUACAAUGACGGUGCCAACGAGUCUGACCUCCUGGCCCGAAAGGGUUGGGCAAACUGGUCAAUCACCGUCAUGUCAGGGAUCGGGGCUUGGAAUUGUUCCCCGUGAACCAGGAAUUCCUAGUAAGUGCAAGUCAUAAGCUUGCGCUGAUUACGUCCCUGCCCUUUGUACACACCGCCCGUCGCUACUACCGAUUGAAUGGUUUAGUAAGGUCCUUGGAUCGGUGCCAUUGCAGUGGCUGCCGCAAGGCAUGUCCACUCGACAGGCGCUGAGAAGACGACC
rnacentral:rRNA from 1 species